rnacentral:rRNA from 1 species
GACGGAGGGUGCUAGCGUUGUUCGGAAUGAUUGGGCGUAAAGCGUCCGCAGGUGGCAAUGUAAGUCUGCUGUCAAAGCGUCUGGCUCAACCAGAUAAAGGCAGUGGAAACUACAUAGCUAGAGUAAGGUAGGGGUAGAGGGAAUUCCUGGUGUAGCGGUGAAAUGCGUAGAGAUCAGGAAGAACACCGGUGGCGAAAGCGUUCUGCUAGACCUGUACUGACACUGAGGGACGAAAGCUAGGGGAGCGAAUGGG